UACGGGGGGGGCAAGCGUUGUUCGGAAUUACUGGGCGUAAAGGGCUCGUAGGCGGCCAACUAAGUCGGACGUGAAAUCCCUCGGCUUAACCGGGGAACUGCGUCCGAUACUGGAUGGCUUGAGGUUGGGAGAGGGAUGCGGAAUUCCAGGUGUAGCGGUGAAAUGCGUAGAUAUCUGGAGGAACACCGGUGGCGAAGGCGGCAUCCAGGACCAAUUCUGACGCUGAGUGAGCGAAAGCCAGGGGAGCAAACGGG
rnacentral:rRNA from 1 species